rnacentral:rRNA from 1 species
UACGAAGGGGGGCUAGCGUUGCUCGGAAUCACUGGGCGUAAAGCGCACGUAGGCGGAUUGUUAAGUCAGGGGUGAAAUCCUGGAGCUCAACUCCAGAACUGCCUUUGAUACUGGCGAUCUUGAGUCCGGGAGAGGUGAGUGGAACUGCGAGUGUAGAGGUGAAAUUCGUAGAUAUUCGCAAGAACACCAGUGGCGAAGGCGGCUCACUGGCCCGGUACUGACGCUGAGGCACGAAAGCGUGGGGAUCAAACAGGAGUUAGAUAUCC